rnacentral:misc_RNA from 1 species
GUUGUAAAACGACGUUAUGCAUGAACGUAAUGCUCAUAACUUCCCUCUAGACCUAGCUGCUAUUGAAGUUCCAUCUACAACUGGAUAAUACUUUGGUCCUAGUCUAUUGGAUAAUACUUUGGUCCUAGUCUAUACGAAUUUUUGAAAGUAAGGGAGCAAUCACCUAUUGUUCUAUCAAAAGUACAUUGCUCCUUUACUUUUCUUUUUUUAUUACGACUAGAGUCUUCUUUUCUGUACAGAUCGUUUUUUUGUUACAAGAAAAAGAUUUUCAUGCUUUGGUUCAUGAUUGAGUCUCCUUUUUUAUUUUCGUUUUGUAUUCCUUUUGUAUUGAGAUACCUUUGUUUUGUGAAAUUUUUAUUUUCCAUUCAAAAGAAAAGAGAAAAUUUGCUUAAGACUUCAAAUUUAUAUCUCCGAAAUAAGAAAUAAAUAAUCAGGAAUUUUUGAAAUUGAAAUCUUAAGGGGCGGAUGUAGCCAAGUGGAAUAAGGCAGUGGAUUGUGAAUCCACCAUGCGCGC